GAACGGAUUGCCGUCCCGGUCGCCGCCGAUCCAGCUUCCCAUUUUCAGGAAUGUCGCAAGCUCCGGGACAUCGUGCGCAUCGACGGCCGUGCCGCCCUCUUCGGCCAGACGAUCCUCCAGAGAACAGUGCANNNCUCACGCAGGAACGUGUAGUCAUAGAACGAAAGACCGUUGGAAACCUCGUCCAGCACCGUCAGCUUGGUGCGCCUCAAAAGAUUGGUCUGCCACAGCGUCACCACGGCGCGGCGCAACUGCUCGUCGCUGGCCGCGAUCUCGUCCGCGGUCAUCUGGGUUCGGUCGCGGAUAUUGAGGACGGACGCGAUCUCCAUCUCCCGAUCGAUC
rnacentral:misc_RNA from 1 species